UACGUAGGGUGCGAGCGUUAAUCGGAAUUACUGGGCGUAAAGCGUGCGCAGGCGGUUCGUUGUGUCGGCGGUGAAAGCCCCGGGCUUAACCUGGGAAUGGCCGUUGAAACUGGCGAACUGGAGUGUGGCAGAGGGGGGUGGAAUUCCGCGUGUAGCAGUGAAAUGCGUAGAGAUGCGGAGGAAUACCGAUGGCGAAGGCAGCCCCCUGGGCCAAUACGUGACGCUCAUGCACGAAAGCGUGGGGAGCAAACAGG
rnacentral:rRNA from 1 species